rnacentral:rRNA from 1 species
UACGGAGGGGGCUAGCGUUGUUCGGAAUUACUGGGCGUAAAGCGCACGUAGGCGGAUCAGUAAGUUAGAGGUGAAAGCCCAGGGCUCAACCCUGGAACUGCCUUUGAUACUGCUAGUCUAGAGAUCGAGAGAGGUGAGUGGAAUUCCGAGUGUAGAGGUGAAAUUCGUAGAUAUUCGCAAGAACACCAGUGGCGAAGGCGGCUUACUGGUCCGGUUCUGACGCUGAGGCGCGAAAGCGUGGGGAGCAAACAGG